rnacentral:rRNA from 1 species
CAGUAGCCGCGGUAAUACGAAGGGGGCUAGCGUUGUUCGGAAUUACUGGGCGUAAAGCGCACGUAGGCGGAUUUUUAAGUCAGGGGUGAAAUCCCGAGGCUCAACCUCGGAACUGCCUUUGAUACUGGAGAUCUUGAGUUCGGAAGAGGUUGGUGGAACAGCUAGUGUAGAGGUGAAAUUCGUAGAUAUUAGCUAGAACACCAGUGGCGAAGGCGGCCAACUGGUCCGAUACUGACGCUGAGGUGCGAAAGCGUGGGGAGCAAACAGGAUUAGAUACCCGGGUAGUCCCUGUCUCUUAUAC